CUUGGUGAAAUUCGUUGACGUUAAGCAAGGUUUGUUUGGGUUGUCUUGUUUUAGGUUAUGUACGUUACAUUUUCUUUAUUUAUAGCUUAUUUAAAGACGCCUUGUGUGUAUCUCAGACUGUAUAACAUCGAAUGAGAGGAUGAUAGUGAAUAAUGAAGUGGCCUAUUUCUUUGCUAGCCUGUUGGAGAGUUUCUGCUUUCUUGGUUAUGGUACCCACACCAUCCCACAGCAAACUGACAUCAUCAGCAUAAGCGAGUACCUGGAUGAAUACCUUCAGUGGUAUUAAUUUAUGUGAUGCAGCAGUAUAAGAAGCUGGUCAUUGUGGUUGGAUAGGCCAUUUAUUUUGCAAAAUGACGGGCCACAGUAGAAAACUUAUUGCGGCCGAGUUUGUCGAAGAGGUGGUUGACACAAGCAAGACAUGUUCUUCAACAUUCUCGAUACCGAAGCAAGUACGAUGGUAAGUCGCUGCCUUCUGUGACUGUAAGUGACUAUGAUCAUUCACAUGACAUAAUAUUAUGCUGUCAUAAUGGCGUCUGAAAGUGAGUGAAGACCAGUUAUUGAAUUACUGUUGUGGGCAUUAUUAGACGAGGAAUGUGACAUUGACGACAAGCACUUUGAGCAGAAAAAAGCCAUGAUCUUCCAGCUACAUGCACAUAUCUAAUGAAUAGAGAAUUACGUUACAGUUGAGGAUUAUAUGAGGAACCAUGUUGUUUGUUAUGAUUUGUGUUUGUUUAGGUGUAAAAAUUAUCUGGCAUUACUUAUAAUUUGCUCUAGAAAGUUUCAGGUUCCCUGCUUCAGCAUACAGAAUGAAUAAGUUAACAGAUUAUAUGCAUAUUUGUAUCAUAAUUUAUAAUUUGUAUCUCUUUAAUUUCUUUGAAAUUUCUUCACAUUGAAUGCUCGUAAUGAGACUACAUAUUUGCUGGUAAGGGGAAGUAUAUUAAUUCUCCACAAUUGUUACUCUUUUAACCACCUGCAAUUAUCAAAAUGAUUUUUAUUGGGUAUUAAAUAUUUUUUCUGCCUGUUGCAUGUCUGUUAAUUUCUCCAUAUGUCAUGAUUCAGUGUAUAUAAAGAAAUUAAAUGUUAUUUAUAUAUUUUUGUGAA